GACGAACGCUGGCGGCGUACUUAACACAUGCAAGUCGAACGGAAAGGCCCUGCUUUUGUGGGGUGCUCGAGUGGCGAACGGGUGAGUAACACGUGAGUAACCUGCCCUUGACUUUGGGAUAACUUCAGGAAACUGGGGCUAAUACCGGAUAGGAGCUCCUGCUGCAUGGUGGGGGUUGGAAAGUUUCGGCGGUUGGGGAUGGACUCGCGGCUUAUCAGCUUGUUGGUGGGGUAGUGGCUUACCAAGGCGUUGACGGGUAGCCGGCCUGAGAGGGUGACCGGCCACAUUGGGACUGAGAUACGGCCCAGACUCCUACGGGAGGCAGCAGUGGGGAAUAUUGCACAAUGGGCGGAAGCCUGAUGCAGCAACGCCGCGUGCGGGAUGACGGCCUUCGGGUUGUAAACCGCUUUCGCCUGUGACGAAGCGUGAGUGACGGUAAUGGGUAAAGAAGCACCGGCUAACUACGUG
rnacentral:rRNA from 1 species